rnacentral:lncRNA from 1 species
AAAUCCUCUCCUCUAUAAUAUUGGCAUACCCUUAGAUUUCCUUCGCUUCGUAAAGUCAACUACAAUGGAAAGAGUGAAAAAAGGAGAAUGGAAAGAGUGAAAAAAGGAGUUGAACCCAGUACUUGAUAGUUUCUUUCAUUUGAAUCUAGUUUAUGGAAUUUGGAUCUAGUACCCCAUUGCGAGGGAGUUGUUUUAUAGUCUCUGUCCCUUUCGUAUCGCCUUGACCGAAGAAAGAAAUCCGUUUUGCAAUGAUGAGGCUAAGGCACCUCACAUCAGACCUUGCUAACCUGCGAUACUAUCUAAUGGAUUGGUGGUUUAGGUUUCUCACUCACUUUGGUUUUAUGCCCUGCCUUUCUUUGACUUAUAACCAUAAGGUUAAUGGGCUUUGCCACACCUUAUCUUGAGAAACGAAAAGGCUGUUUAUUAGCGGCAUUGCUGAACCGAAUACUUCACCCCUUCCCUUAGUGGUAUGGGUGAAAGGAGUAGCUACCUAUUCCUUAGUGGGCUUAUGGGUGAAAGGAGUAGCUACCUAGAUGAAUAAAGGACUUACUUAUACCUUCCUUUGGCAACAUUAAAGAAAGCACUCUGCUCUAUAAAGCUAGCGAUACGAAUUCCCAUUGUUUCGUUCAAUUAUAUGGGCUACUUCAUUUUCAUUAUAGUACAAAAGCUUAAGCUGGGGAUGUUGUUCCUAUUAUGUGGGGAUGUUGUUCCUAUUAUGCAAUAAAAAGAGAACGCUGGGGAUGUUGUUCCUAUUAUGUAAUAAAAAGAGAACGCUGGGGAUGUUGUUCCUAUUAUGCAAUAAAAAGAGAACAAAGAAGCUCAACUGGAUUUCUAAGGUUAUAAAUGAUUCUAUUAAGUAGAAAAAUGAGAGUCCUGCAACGCUGGCGAGUUACCUCAUUGCAAGCAAGCACUGGUGCUACUGGAAUGGGCCUAUACCCAUAACCUUAGUAUCGGAAACCCGUGUAUGAGGUGAAGGUAAACCUACAAUUGGUCUUUGAACCUACUAUGAAUGCCAUUAAACCCACUCGGACAUCAGACAUUAGUUUACGCACCUAUAUAUCUUGUUUUGGAGAAAACUAAUACAUCAGUCAACAAGAAACAAAUACCUAAGUGAAAGAUUGCCUGUAAAGUAAUCUCGUGAAGAGGUAAUAUGGACCAUUAGAAGGAGCAAUAGGCUGGAUGAUCUAAGGUAAUAUGGACCAUUAGAAAGAGCAAUAGGCUGGAUCUCAUAAUAAGGACGAUAAUCAAAUAGCGGACACAACAAAGUACAAAAGCCUAGAAUAAGCUGUAAGUAUCUAAAAGGGCUUGGAGAAGACAACUCGCACCUCAACCAAUAAAAUGGGGAAUCGUUAUUCACCCGAUGAAUAAACUGCUUAAGAAAGAACUCACGACACAUGAUAGGAGCUCUAACCCUACCUAAUAAGAAUAAGGGGUUGUUUCAAUCCGCAUUCAAAAGGAGUCAUUUCGAAAAGCACUGUUAUUACACAAUGGAUUCAUUUCUCCUACUUUAUGCCGGAGUUAAGACAGCCUCCUUCCUAUUGGACAAUAGAUGAUGAUUGAACUCGCCCCCCGUAAAGUAUACCAGAGCACCAACUAUUCUGAAUUUCCAAUCAAAAGGAAGUGCUAGGAAUAAGGUCCCAGAUCCACAUAAUACGGUGGGUGCGAAUAAGAAAGAAGUGGGUGUGUGAAGAAAGUGGAUAAGAAGAAGAAAUUCCAGAAGUCAUGUUACCUGGAUGAGCUAAGGUAGCUCUAAGAAGUGGACAUCCGCUGUGUCUGCUGGAUUAAGGCGGAAUACUAUUCCCGUGAAAGAGGAAUCAUUGGCAGAAACACUUUAAGAAGCCCUAGAAAUAACGGAAUCGCUUGUUCAUUAAUGCCCUUAGAAGGAAUCAUUUAAUGCCCUGUUAGAAGGAAUCAUUGGAAAAAGGAGGAGACGCAGAAAAAAGGAGGAGACGCAGAUCGGCCGGGGUUCUUUCCAUAUAUAUAUAUAAAUAGUAAACAAAAGGGAAUGAGUUCACCAAAUAGACCGUUCGUAUAGACAUUUACUCGGCUUGGAUCGAUAACAAAAACAUAGAAAGCCUUAGUAAGGAACUGAUAUUGUGUUUUAAAAAGCAUUAAAACUAGAUGCACUCAUUUAUUAUGUGCUUUAUAGGCUUUCUUCGGAGCCCAGAAUUGAUGCUUAUUAGAGAAAUUACCACCCUACGUAAUAAGUUCCAUGUGUAUGUGCACACUUAAAGCUCGCCCCUUUGAAGGGUGUGGGAGGAAUAUAAGUCAUUGCUUAUGUAUCCUUUAUUUGGAGAUCUAAUGUCUGAGAUCAACGAGAACCACCUAUGAUUCUUUAUCAACCCAUCAGAUGCUAAUAAUGAAAAACUCAUGCUUUAGAAGCUGUCCUAUUAGCUAUUCUAGCCACCUAUUGUAUAUUUCAUACUUGGGAAAUGCUGUCCAAUCUGGGUCUUGAGUUCGGUAGUUCAGCCCUUUAAAAGCCACAGAGCUAUAGGUAGAAAACAUACAUACUUAUCUGAGUGCUUUGCUGAGAUGCAUCUUUCAUCUGGAUACGAUAAGUGGGUUAAUGGACUAUAUGGUGGACAGUUAUUCCCAUCGUAGCGUUGGAUGGUAGGAACUGACUUAUUGAAUGGAUUUGAUACUAUACUAUAAUGGAUUUGCUAUAAAUACUAUAGUUUGGGUCCAUAGCUUCUUUGUUGGAAUGUCCCGCUAACCGAACAUAUAUAUUGUAUUGAUUUGUUCAGAUGAAAGAAGAAAGUAGAGCUGAAGGAAGUGAUGCUAAGAAUAGCGACUUUUAGACUUCAAAUAGAUACUUAUCCAUUAGGUAUAUAAAUUCCAAGUGCUUCAGGGUUACAUACAAAUCCGUUAUGAAAGUGUUAUUCUUGCUUGUUUCCGGUUAGGAGGGAGGUCAGUCAGGUUCCGGUUAGGAGGGAGGUCAGUCAGGUUUCAUUACUUUUCCAGUAGGGUUAGCGCUUUAUGUUUGCUUGGUCGUUCGUGUCACCUACGUGCGGCUUGCACUAUUUCCUCUUCAGGGCCUACACUUGCCUUAGCUCAAGCCUUCUUACUACAAUACACAAAGCAGCUAAAAGAAAUCCACUACUUUGUUCAUCAAUCUGUUCAGCCACAGACUUCUUGCAUCUCCAUGCCCUUAACGAAGGUGCAUGCACUGAUUUCAUGGAGCUACAAACACCUCCACCGUGGGGAACGAAAUGAACUUAACUACACGUUCUUUUACCGGCGCAUUCCAGCGAAGCAAAAUGGAUAGCUCUUGCUUACUUAUAAGGAGCCCUGCAUAUAUUCUCCUCCGAUUCCGAUGAAUGACCCUAAAUGCCUUUUCCCCGUGCUCUUUCAAUGCAAAGCUUUAUGCAGUUUCAUUAUCCUAAGGGGAUAUACAAAGCCUGUUUCGAGAGGGGAAGGAAGAGGAGCACAACCGUAACCUUCGAAGCAAACAAAGCUUAGCGCUCUAAAAGCCCUAUGAUCCUGAGGGAGAGCCGGAAGUAUCGGAUAAGCUAGCAGUUUGAACCCAAAGGAAAGGCAGAGGUUUCUAAAGUGGUUGGAUUUUCCCAAGGCGGUAAAAGAAUAGGAUAGCUUGCUCUAUAGGCGGUAGGUCGGUGUAAUCAUUUUCUUAGUAUCAAAUGGAUUGCGCGCAAAGAAGAAGUUAGCCCCAUAUAGUCAUCAGUUUCAAGCCAGCGAGCUAGUCCAAAUCCGCUUUCUUUCGUUGACCAAGUUCAUCCUUUUUCUAAGGGUUUGAAAGGUGGUAAUAGACCUAAAGAAAGGGGUUGAGCUAUGGGGUUUCCUGACUUUUCUCUUACUAUUGCAGAAUGAAGCUAAACCCUUCCAUUCAUUGUAAUUUACUCGAGUGCCGGCUCAGUAGAAAGAAGGAUAUCCAUAGGGGUAAAGGGAAGCUAGAGAUAUGGACGCAAUUGCUUGAUUAGCGAGAACAUGAUCUCCUCGGGAAGCACUCGUUCCAGCUCAACAAAGGGGGUCCUCAUAGAAACAUAUAUAUAUAUAGUUAUACCAAAACAUAAAUGAUUAUGAGAAAUAGAAGCAGUUCUAAGUCAACUUAGCUCGAAAAGGAUUUAUUACUAGAAAAGAAAGACUAAUAUAAUGCGUGCAAAAGGCUGACCCCACAGGCUGACUAAAACUCUAUCGAAGCAUACAAAUUCGACUACUACUUGCUUAUUGCAGGGUCGUGAUGGACACUCUCUUCGUCUAGUCACUCUAUUAAGCUUUCGCUGCAAGUAUCUGGAAUGGGGUACGUAAAGAUUGCUAUUCAAAAGCAUCGUAAAGAAUUAUGCUUUCUAUCGGGGGAAUAGUCCGGAUAAGAUGACAAUUCUCUUUCCUUAUAUGGAUAAAGAUAUGGAUAAAGCCGUAUGUUAGGCCCACUUAUUAUUAAGGGUUGGUUGCUCGGUUUCCGCUCCUACUAAAAAAGAGUCAAUGGCAGGCUUUCAGCACCUUGCUCUUCGGGCUAAGGCAAAGAUGCUAACUUUGCAGUGGAAAGAGUAAUGAGAGGAAAGCGUUUCGAUAGGAACUCUUGAAAGCAUCACUUGCAAUUCCACCUUUUAUUGUUCUCUUGCCCCGUUGCCCAUUCAAGUAUAGAAAGAAGUUAGUGAUAAGGAAUGGCUUAGAACUCAUGAAGCUACGGAUGCAAUGCAACGUAUAUAUCGGACCAGUGCAACGUAUAUAUCGGACUUGAAACAGACAGAGAAAAGCUCUUCCAUCAGUGAAAAUAGCAUAGAGAGCAUCAUAUUAAGUUACAGAGCACUCCAGCCUUUUCUGUCCAUUCAUGUGCUGCUACUAGGGUCGUUAUGUUAUGCCACUUCCUUAGUUCCCCCCCCAUCCAAUCUUGUAUGCUCGUUACUGCCGUAAACAUAGUACUGAGUUUUGCCUGCUUCCGGCUUAGUUGGAGGAUCCUUCGGGUAAGUUUCCAAGUCUCUUCUGGAUUUAUGAAUUAUAGACUCAUAGAAUAAUAUUCUAUAAAUAAGGGUUAUUGUAUUUAUGAUAUUCUAUUUAUUAUGAUAUUCUAUUUAUUUGGAAACUAUGAUAUUUAUUGAAAUCUUAUUUCUUUCUUGGGCUUUGACCGGACAUGAAUGGACAUGCGAUAAGGUGCUCUCCCGACUCGGUUAAUGGGGUGGGCUCUUAAUCAUUCUCUGCUAGCUUUAGUAUCGGAGUACUUUGUACCAUCUAUUUUGGUGUGAUUGAUUUCUGUUCCAAAUCCUCGUCUUUCUUGAGAGUGAGUGAAUUCCAUUUAUAUCUUAUUAAAUACUAGGAAUCUGGAAGGUAGAUGGUGUGGGAAAGCAAGAAGGAAGAGAGCUAACCAGGGAAAGACCCAUGAGACAGUGUGAACUCUUUACUCCCUUCGCUAGCUCCACUCCUUGACCUAACUGAGGCUUACUCCCAGCUCUUUCUGUCUUCCCUCCCUGAACACCCAAAUACAGAAUACAAAUAAACCCAAUGAAACAGUGUGAACUCUUUACUCCCUUCGCUCUCCUUGUUCUUUCACUCCAAACAACCUUAACCAAGACAGCAGAAAAAGAACUCCCCAUUAAUAUAAGUAAGAAGACCUAACCGAGUCAACUACUAGAGAACUUGACUUUCACUCUUUACUCCCUUCGCUCUCAACAGAACAAAAAGAACUAAAUGAAACAGUGUAUAAGACCUCAGAGGAAUAACCCCAUUCAAGUGCUCUUGCUCUCUAGACCUAACCGAGUCAACCCCUAUCUUGCCUGUCCUGUGCCCUUAUUGGCUUUGGGAAAGAAUCAAUUCCUGAUGAUGCUAAUGCAGUGAUAGUUGUUGGUGACGAGAUAGUUUAUUGUGUUGGUGCUGUAGCUCCUAGUAAUAGAGUUGGGGAAAUAAGAUCUUUGCUAGGAUAAGAGGAGAGGUCUUUUACUACAUAACUUCUUACUGACGCGCAACGGGUUCACUGACGCUAUUAAUUAGGACCUGGUUAUAGUAGUAGUGACUUGUCUAGAAGUUGCUUGGCCCU